rnacentral:rRNA from 1 species
UCCGUAGGUGAACCUGCGGAGGGAUCAUUACAGAGUUGCAAAACUCCCAACCAUUGUGAACGAACCGCUAAGCUCCAGCGGGCGGCGCACUGCGCCGCUUGCUGGUAGCCUGCAAACUCUUGAUUAUAGUGUAUCUCUGAGUAGCUUAUUAAAUAAGUCAAAACUUUCAACAACGGAUCUCUUGGUUCUGGCAUCGAUGAAGAACGCAGCGAAAUGCGAUAAGUAAUGUGAAUUGCAGAAUUCAGUGAAUCAUCGAAUCUUUGAACGCACAUUGCGCCCGCUAGUAUUCUGGCGGGCAUGCCUGUUCGAGCGUCAUUUCAACCAUCAAGCCCCAGGCUUGUGUUGGGGUCCUGCGGUCUCCGCAGCCCUCUAAAAGCAGUGGCGGGCUCGCUGUUAUACCGAGCGCAGUAGCAUUUCUUCGCUCUGGGGUGACAGCUUGUACUAGCCGUAAAAUAACUACUAAGGUUGACCUCGGAUCAGGUAGGAAUACCCGCUGAACUUAA